GGUGGCUCAGUGGAAGAGUGCUUGCCUUGCAUGCAUGAGGCUCUGGGUUCAAUUCCUCAGCACCA
rnacentral:tRNA from 1 species